UUCGCAAUGCCCGAAAGGGUGACGAAGCGACGCCGCGUGCGGGAAGAAGGCCUUCGGGUUGUAAACCGCUGUCGGGAGUUAGGAAAUGCAAGGAUGUUAAUAGCAUCUUUGCUUGACUAAGGCUCCGGAGGAAGCCACGGCUAACUCUGUGCCAGCAGCCGCGGUAAUACAGAGGUGGCAAGCGUUGUUCGGUAUUAUUGGGCGUAAAGAGCACGUAGGUGGUUUUGUAAGUCAGAUGUGAAAGCCUUCUGUUCAAAGGAAGAACGGCAUCUGAAACUGCGAAUCUUGAGUGUAGGAGGGGAGAGUGGAACUUCUGGUGGAGCGGUGAAAUGCGUAGAUAUCAGAAGGAACGUCGGCGGCGAAAGCGACUCUCUGGCCUAUUACUGACACUGAGUGUGCGAAAGUUAGGGGAGCAAACGGGAUUAGAUACCCCGGUAGUCCUAACUGUAAACGAUGGGCACUAAGUAGAGGGGUUUU
rnacentral:rRNA from 1 species